UCUUUAAAAACAUUUUAUUUACAAUGCAUAUUAUAAUAUUCAUCGUAGCAAAGAUAUCGUAGGUAAGUAUCAUAAACAAUGUACGAGUAGACAACUUAGUUACAAUUUAGAUUAGGAUGAUCACAAUUACAAUUCGAUUCAUGAUAAAUUAAUGAACGUAGCAAAUAUGCCAGCAUGAAACGUAAUUAUUAUUCAAUAUUAUUAACCAGAUAUGACACUUUUAUAUAGCUGAGGGAGUUAACACUUUCUUGCCGAGUGUUUUGUGCGCAGCUCAUCGAAAGAAUACAACAUAGGUGAGGACAGAGCCGGGUCAUGAGCUGAUACGAUUGUAUCGCAAGUUCAUACCUAGUUGUAAAACUUGAGAAAGAGAAGCCAUAAACAGUAGUCAAAUAUUACAUUACAAUUUUAUUCAGUGCCUGUCGUUGCAGAGUACAGUUAGUAGUGACAUUAACAGAGUUCUGGAGAAUAAGAAAAGAAACGCUAAAGGUGAUAAACGUAAAUAAUGUAUAGAAAUGCUAGCGUUUCGUUUCGUUUUCUGCAAACGAUUGUCAUCUUGGCUAGGUCCCAUGUCCCAUCGACACCAAUUUGAAGCAGUUGAUACUUAAAGAUAGACCAAAUGAAUUAGCCGGCUUGCAAAGUAAUUACAUAACUCUUAGCCGUUGAUAGUUUUUUUUUUCAUUCAUCUGCACCCUAGUAUAAAGAAGAAUGUUCGGGAAGACUGCGAUAUGUACGACAGACAUACAGAAUAAACACAAUCGUCGAUGAUAUAGAUAUUUAAUCCCCCCUCCCCCUGUUCCAGAAAGUUUAAGACACGUUCUACUUUUAUAUUCUGAAAAAAUAAUUAUUGAAAUGUGGAUAUCCCAUCUGAAGUAAUUAUUAGGUACCUAUUUCCCUAACUGAAGCGACCACGCGACGAUACGACACGACACGCGACUUUCACUAGACAUGGCUAAGUAUUAAGCACAAGAAUUAAUCUUUUAUGUGGUCACUUAGGCCGUCGAGACCUCGCUUUUGUCGUAACUGCUAGGAUAUUUCAACUUUUUAAUUGAUAGUUGAGAUGAUCAGCAAAAGUGUUCAAUAUGUCCUUACUCGUAAAUAAAAAUGACAAGAUGAAGAUAUUUCAAAAUAAUUAUAUCACAAUAUUAUUAUUCUUAUUAAAAUAAAUCACUAAAUAAUAAAUUGAACUAAAUAUAUACAAUUCAAAACAACCAGUAGCGAGUGGGCGGUGUGCGACAGUGGUCUGUUUUCUUUAUACCUCCGAUACCUACAUAUUAUUCACAAUAUUGGUUAUAAAAAGUAAAAAAAAUAGUCUCUUCUGUUUCUGAAAAAAGCCUAAAUAGAUUUCAGUUGUAAGACAGGUAGGUAGGUACGUCGGCAAAACGGCUCUCUUUUGAAUUGGAUUUAACUAUUGGGACCAGAAAAAGCAAAUUAGAAGCUCUUUAUGACCCAUGGAUGUCUCUUGAGCACCUGACAUGGAGACGCAAUGCCACGUAAAGUGCCACUGCACCCACCAAUCCUGCACCCCAAAUCGACCUCUUUACUAUUGCAGGUAUAUUAUAUGGCUACCUUCCGCCAGCGCCAGCGGUGGCAUCCGCGUAGAAGUCGUAAAAACUUUUCAUUACCGUUUCACCCCGUUAGGAGGUGCAUAAUAAAAUCCUUCUAAAGCGGAAAAUAUUUCAAAUGCCAAGGUCCUUUGACGGUUUAGGUACGCUGCGCUGUCUAUCAAUAUCUAUAUAACGGAACUGGUUUAUAUAGUUGCAUUAAGACGGUUGCGGCUACCGCCCAUUGUCAACACGAAUAGAGUUUGACUUUUAUUUACGAAGAAGAUACACGCAUGCUUGGUACAGUCAGCAGCAGAAGUUGCCAAGCAGUCGUGGUGUUCAAAAUUACCCUGACACGCUCUUAUUCUCUUCACAAUAAAGUCGCGUCAAGAUCAAUAUGAACACCUUGCCCGCUUAGCAAUUUCACUGCUGGCCGUACAUGUUUAAGUUUGCUACUUUUAUGUACAAAUAUGACACCUAUGAACUACGAACACUGUCAAAAAAGCGUUGUUUUGGAGUGUUUUUUUUUUUAAUAUUCUGGUAUCACCGUUCGGCGACGGGGUAGGCUUUGCACAUUAAAAAUAAAUUUGACCUACACGAAAAGCUCAAUGGAAACAAUGAAAAUGAUCUGUCUAUGCCACAUUUAUACAGGGUGAUUCAUGAGACGUGAGCAGGACUAAUCUUGCACACUCAGUAACUGAUAAUUGAUCGAUCACCGUCGUAUUUAGGCGAAACAACCACAGUUUUUCCUAUUUUUUAACUUUUUAGUGAGGGCUAGUUUAAUUCUCUACAAUCAUGGUCAUCCUACAAGACCUAAUCACUGAACAUAAAAACUCUUUAACCGUAAUUACAGCGUUAUGAUUACGAAGAAAAUAACUGUCAAACUUGAGUGAGAUACGAGUUUUCAAAAGUAACCAGACCGUGAUGACAGUGAUGACAUUAAAUUUGACACAGAGUAUCGGUAGUUUAGUAUUGUAAUUUUAGGGUGACCAUGCAUGUCGUAAAUAAAUCAAUAACUUUUUUUUUCAACAUGACUAGAAAAUUAACGUUAAUCUCACUAAUACUGAUACGAAACAGUUGCUUAUAAUUUACGAAAUGCGCAGUGUUAGUUCUGCUCACGUCUCCUGAAUCACCCUGUAUAAUAUGGAAUGUUACACAGAUCAUCCUAGCCCAAACUAAGCAAAGCUUGUAGUUGCGUAGCGUUCCAAUAAACAAUGUUUUGAAAUUAGUCGUUUACAUGGCCGGUACUGACAUUUUAUUUGACUAUUAAUAAAUAA